GACGAACGCUGGCGGCGUGCCUAAUACAUGCAAGUAGAACGCACAGUUUAUACCGUAGCUUGCUACACCAUAGACUGUGAGUUGCGAACGGGUGAGUAACGCGUAGGUAACCUGCCUGGUAGCGGGGGAUAACUAUUGGAAACGAUAGCUAAUACCGCAUAAUAUUAAUUAUUGCAUGAUAAUUAAUUGAAAGGUGCAAUUGCACCACUACCAGAUGGACCUGCGUUGUAUUAGCUAGUAGGUGAGGUAACGGCUCACCUAGGCGACGAUACAUAGCCGACCUGAGAGGGUGAUCGGCCACACUGGGACUGAGACACGGCCCAGACUCCUACGAGAGGCAGCAGUAGGGAAUCUUCGGCAAUGGACGAAAGUCUGACCGAGCAACGCCGCGUGAGUGAAGAAGGUUUUCGGAUCGUAAAGCUCUGUUGUAAGAGAAGAACGAGUGUGAGAGUGGAAAGUUCACACUGUGACGGUAUCUUACCAGAAAGGGACGGCUAACUACGUG
rnacentral:rRNA from 1 species